AUCAUUAACGUUAUACGGGCCUGGCACCCUCUAUGGGUUAAAUGGCCUCAUUUAAGAAGGACUUAAAUCAUUAAUUUCUCAUACUAGAUUUAAGACGUUCCAUACACUGCAUCUCACAUUUAUCAAUAUAGAUAAAGUGACUUAGUGCUGAACUGAUUUCUUUUCGCUCGCCGCUACUAAGA
rnacentral:rRNA from 1 species